UAGCGAAGGGGGCUAGCGUUGUUCGGAAUCACUGGGCGUAAAGCGCACGUAGGCGGAUGUGUCAGUCAGGGGUGAAAUCCCGGAGCUCAACUUCGGAACUGCCUCUGAUACAGCACGUCUUGAGUCCGGAAGAGGUGGGUGGAAUUCCUAGUGUAGAGGUGAAAUUCGUAGAUAUUAGGGAAGCAACACCGGGUGGCGAAGG
rnacentral:rRNA from 1 species